GUGCAGUGCAAUUGGGUGCUUUUGUUUUGCACAGGGAAGCAUGCCUAUCCUCACCCGUAACCCCGCCUCCUCCUAAAAAUGAGUGUUGACCUAAAUUUCAUGAUGAAGAACUUUUGAUAGUAAUGUUGAAAGCUGAGGGAGACGAGUGCGUUUCCCCACAACAAUGCUGCUGUCUUCUACUUAGAUCUUUGAGGCAAGCAAAACAAAGAAAAAAAAGUUUAUAGAAGAUGCAGAAAUCAGCUAAGACCUUCGUCCUUUGGAAAUAUGACUGAAAUACCAAAAUGCUAUCAAGCAGGUUCUUAACUCUUAAACCAUCAUGCCGAAUUGCUAUAAUUAUGGGCACAUCAUCUUUUUUUAAUUUAAACUUAAAGGCAAAUGUUGACAGCAAGAAGCAUCUGUAAAACUAGAGAAGAGAAAGUCAUCGUCAGACAGCUGCUAGGCCCCAAUAUCCUGGCGUGUAGGCUAAGUUGCUGAUAGUCUUUUAAAUAAGACAAGAAAGGGAUGGAGUCUUUUCUCUAGGAAGGAAGAAGAAAAUGUACCCAGAAUUGCUCUCAAGAUUUGCUAUUAUCAUAGGGUUAUAUAGUUAUUUUUUUUCUUUUACUUAUUAAGGACAAGGGAUCAUUUCAUUAGCUAUAUUCUGAAGUUCAGU
rnacentral:lncRNA from 1 species